GUCGUAACAAGGUUUCCGUAGGUGAACCUGCGGAAGGAUCAUUAACAAAUCAUGUUGUCGCAGCGAGAGUCCUCGGAUUCUCCUCGGCAUAUACACCCCAAGCCUGGACAGUAGUCCGGGCUUUGGUCAUUGACCGCCUGUCACAGGGAGGUCAAUACAUAGACGCUUGUAUGUUUGACAGAGUUUUGGUUUGCAAUACAAAAUUGACAACUUUUAACAAUGGAUCUCUUGGCUCUUGCAACGAUGAAGAACGCAGUGAAAUGCGAAAAGUAAUGCGAUUUGCAUGAAUCUGUGAGUCAUCAAGUUUUUGAACGCACCUUGCACCGUAUGAGCAAUUGUACGGUAUACCUGUUUGAGAAUCGUAAAAAACCAUUCUAUACUUCUCGUAAGUGUAGAGAUUUGUUUGCUGAGCGGGCUCACGCCUGCUCUCAGACUAAAUGCAGUAGGCUUGGAACAGGCUGGUGGCCUGGGACAUUGUGUGAUAGAGACGUCGCCGUAAGGCAGACAGUCUUCUCACAAUGGGUCCUGGGCUAUUCCAAAACCGGUCUGCUUCGAGCCUCUACAGUCAAAGCCCUUCAAACGGCUGCGACAACCCCCCUUUUUGAUCUCAAAUCAGGUAAGGCUACCCGCUGAACUUAAGCAUAUCAGUAAGCGGAGGAAAAGAAACUAACAAGGAUUCCCCUAGUAACGGCGAGCGAAGCGGGAAGAGCUCAAAUUUAAAAUCUGGUAGGCUUCGCCUAUCCGAAUCGUAGUUUAAAGAGGCGUUAUCNGGUCACGGUUGGGUGCUCAAGUUCCUNGGAAUAGGACGUCACAGAGGGUGAGAACCCCGUCUGGGCAUCGGGCCGUGGCCCUCUAUGAGGCGCUCUCUACGAGUCGGGUUGUUUGGGAAUGCAGCUCAAAAUGGGUGGUAAAUUUCAUCUAAGGCUAAAUACUGGCAAGAGACCGAUAGCGAACAAGUACCGUGAGGGAAAGAUGAAAAGCACCUUGAAAAGGGAGUUAAAUAGUGCGUGAAAUUGUUAAAAGGGAAACGAAUGAGACCAGUAUUGCGGUCGGCCGCUCAGCGGGGCAUUGGUGUAAGCCUGUGCUCCGUGUAUUCGGUUGGCUGCGGGUCAGCGUCAGUUUGGGCUUCCGGAGAGAGGUCAGAGGAAGGUGGAGUUGACCUUCGGGUCUCCUCUUUAUAGACUCUGGCUGGCACGAGGAGCCUGGACUGAGGUGAGCGUCUGCCAUACUCUCGGUUUGAGACUGGCCUCCAAGGCGUUGGACUACAUGUAGACCUGCGCUGCAAGGGACAGAGGUAGAGCCGAGCAGGCAGUUCCAGGAUGCUGACGAAAUGGUCUUAUACGACC
rnacentral:rRNA from 1 species